CAGUAGCCGCGGUAAUACGUAGGUGGCAAGCGUUGUCCGGAAUGAUUGGGCGUAAAGGGCGCGCAGGCGGCUGUGUAAGUCUGUCUAGAAAGUGCGGGGCUAAACCCCGUGAGAGGAUGGAAACUGGACAGCUGAGAGUGUCGGAGAGGAAAGCGGAAUUCCUAGUGUAGCGGUGAAAUGCGUAGAUAUUAGGAGGAACACCGGUGGCGAAAGCGGCUUUCUGGACGACAACUGACGCUGAGGCGCGAAAGCGUGGGGAGCAAACAGGAUUAGAGACCCCGGUAGUCCCUGUCUCUUAUAC
rnacentral:rRNA from 1 species